AUACAGCACAGCAGUAAUCCCCUGGUAUAUGGACAUAAGCUUUUAAGACACUUUGUUUUCUAGAAGAGCCUGCUUGGAGGAAAAAAAACCAAAAAAAAAACAACAAAAAAGGAGUUGAUUUCCAUAGAUUUAUAUUAGCUUAGUAUAAAUUGAAUAGUUGUCCAUGCCUCUGCCCAGGUACAAGUUAGCCGAAAUCCUGCUAUUAUGCAUCAUGCUAACAGCACAUUAUCUGAAAGAUGCAGAUACCUAUCUGUAGUCACUAGUUUUUAAUCCAUCAGAUUACAUAAACAUGAUCUCUGAGGACAGUUAUAAGCCCCAGUCAUAAAAAUUAUGCAUCCCACUAAAUCAUGAACUGGAAUUCUGGUUCUCCUUUGGAUUUUGUGAAAACCUUCCUCCAAACUCACCAGUUUCUUCUUUGACUUCUUUGCUGAUAGAUUCUAUCUUUUAUUGAUUUUACCUUAGCUCACUGAGCUAACUGGUUUUGGUCACAAUUUUCCCUACACUCUUUAAGUUGAAAGUAAUGUUUUGCCAUGUUCUUUCCCUAUUUGCUACAUAUGUCUACUUUUCAAAAGAAGGGUCAGGAGUUGCCAUUUUUCUGUCAACAGUCCUCUGCUGGUGUGCACUUUUGAAGAACUUAGUACAAACCUUAAAGUCAAUAAAAAUCAUCCACAAAUAGGUUAGACUGUAUAAAAUUGCACUAUUCAUCACAGUGACACUCAAGGUCACUACUGGUAAUAUGGGGAAGUGGUGAAAUAAACCAGCUAAACAACUGAGAAGAUCAAAAAACAGUAAAAUACAGAAAAGAGGAAAGUUCAGUACAAUUCAGUUCAGUUUAGUUCAGGAAAGGGAAGGAAAGGAAAACAUCGCUGGACAUUUAGACACAUGGGGCACAUAUCUAAUCCACCUUUAUUAGAUAAUCGGUCUUACUACAAAACUAAUGUUUCCCUUGCUUCUUUAAGUGAUCGUGUAACCUUUUACUCUACAGAUGUUUUGAUGCAUUAGCAAGAAGAUCUUUCUGUUAUCUGUAACCACAGUCUGUUUAUGUGAGUACACAGUGGUUUUCAGUCACUUCAUUGGAAAGUAAAUAGGUCUGAUAAUAAUGUCUGAGACAAUGUGGAAUAGCCUUAUAAAUUCAUUUUACUAUCUAUAAGGAAUGAUGAGAGUAUUAUGUUCAAAAGUACAGAAGGUUGAAAACAUUAAUGCUUCAGAAAUACAAGUAUUUGAAACUUAUAAUCAGAAGGGCAGCGUGAAACAUAGCAUGGCAAAAACCACUCAGAAUCUUGUCUACAAGCCUGAUGAGAUUUAUGAUCCAUGGUCCUGGCCCAUGCAUUUUGCAAUGCUGAAAAAGCAAACACAAGGUAAUGGAAAACAAUUAUGAGUCAUUCGUUUACUUCAGAGGUGAUUAAUAUGACAUGGUCAAGUUAAAUCCUCUGAAAUGACAGCAGCUAUAUUUUCCAUUGAUGGGUUUUGUAAGCAUGUGUUUGAUACUCUUCCACAGGGGAUUUUAAUUUCCUGCUGAAAGAUAUAGUUCAUGAUCAAAACAAGGUAUACAUAAAUACUGACUGCUCAGCUUGUAAGACUGAUGGUUUUCUUAUCAGCAAAUGAUAAGAACACAGAACAUCUUCAGUUUUAUUAUACAAACAAUUCUGAAGAAAAAGUACGCGGAAGUGAAUUGGAAUAUUCUAAUGGACUAGGCCGCAAAGCAUCUAAUAGCAUCUCAUCAGACCACCAUAUUCCUGGUCUGUGUGUACUCACAUUUAAAAUAUUUGUUGCUCUAAAGGAAAGAAAGAGUGGCACUCAAAAACAUAGGCAACAAAAAGGAUGAGCUCAAAAACUACAGAGGUCCUUGGAAAUGCUGCCAAAUAAAACUAUCUAAAGCCCACAUCCACACAAUUGGAUUGUCGCUUUGUCACUGUGCUUGCAAGCAUUAUUGAACCCUGAUCUGGCUCCCAGUACAUAUUUGCAAACCUAUUGGUGUGACUGCACAAACUUACAUUAGUCUCUCAGUAGUUUCCCUUGAUGUGUGUCACUUAAGGUGAGCUUAAGAGCUUAAGACUGUUUUUCAUCCAGUUUGUCUCCAAUUUCUGAUGGGAAACAUAUCCUAAGGGUACUUUGCCACUACCCCAGCACUUCAGUCCUAAAAGGCCUCCAUUCAGACCUUGGAUUCCAGUUUUGUGUGUGCUAAGUUAGCCCAACUCUUGUAUUGCCUUUCUCAGUUUCAGCAAAUCCUUAGUUGUAUGGGAGCUGAGCCCAGAGUUCCCCUCCAGUGUAACUGAGCCUAGUUUUGUGGGUAGGCUGGAUGGAAGUGUUAUGCAGAAGUUAUUUCAAAUUUUGUCUACUCUUACCUGUCAUCAGGAUAUCAACUCUUAACUCACAUCCCCUUUCCAUGCUUAGAAAGGCAGAAGAUAUGAAACUAAUUUUUGGUUUGAGUGCAGUUGUAUCCUAAGUUCAUUCACAAAUUCAGGGAUUGUCCUACCACUCAAAGCUUGAUGUGAAUGUGUUCCUUGGGAUAUGAAUGCCACCCAGACAAAGUCUGUUCACUCCUUGUUUCACUCCUUUUUCUUAAUCUCAGAGGCAGAUGAACUCAGGGUUAUGUACAUUCACAUACACAGAUGUGUCUUGGUUCACCAUGCCACUGUAGAGGGAUAUAUCUGUAUUGAAUUAACCAUUUGCAGACUUAUUUAGCAAUUUUAUGGUCAGUUUUUUCCUUGGAAAAUAUUGAAAAAGCUCAGUGAUCUCAGUGUUUACCUGACAGUUUUUGGAUACUGUAAUUUUGGCAUUUGGAAAUGUAUAACUCAUUUAUAAUAAAUUUUUAGGGGCACUUCAGCAGCUUGUUCCCACCCCAUCAGCUCUGACUUUAUCAUUCUUUGCAUCUUUGCCCCCUCCACUUUUUCCACAGUUUUUUUUUUUUUUUUUUUUCCCCAGACUUCACCCAUAGCUACCUAUAUCCAUAUUCACCAUAUAGAUAUGUGUAGUGGUUGCUUGGGUUUCAAAGGGUCAAUGCUGCUCCAUUCUGUGUGGCAAAUGAGCUGUUGGUUGUGGGAGGGGGUUUGGAAGAUGGCCCCCCUGCUUUGCCUUGGGAGGCAACCGAUGUAUAACUUCCCACCUCCCCUGUUGGCAAUCUUUUGUUGUCCCUUCCCUUCGUUCCUGUCCGUCAUUGUGUAAACCUCUCCCCAGUUCUGGAAAGUUCUGUGCUCAUUGUAUCCCUAUUGGUUCCUUCCCUGAAACCACUCCUUCCCCUUGUUCCCAUUGGUUGUCACCCCGCCGCUUACCCUCUACUCCGCCCCUGGACCCUUCCCUCAUUGGUUGUGUCCUACCCUGACCCUCCUACCCAGCCACUGUUAUAUUCCUCACCCUGCCCUGUGUUCGGGGCUCUCAGAGCUAGCUACCCUCCUCCUUCACUCUCCGAUUCACCUUUCCUCACCUUAACCCUCACGGAAUAAAGCUGCCUGAGAGACAUCCUGCCUUCGGUGGAAGCUCCUUCUUUACUAGCUAUCUGGCUUCUGGAGGACCUGACCCUGCGGCAAGCCAGGUGGUCCCAGGACCCCAGGGCCUCAGUUGGUAGCACUUCAGGAGCCGGUUUAGGGCUUAGUGGCUGUGGAAAGGUGAGAGCUGAGUAAGCAGAUGGGGCUCAGCUGUUUCUGGCAUGAUUCUGCCAUGUGGACUACGGUACUGUGACUCCUGCUUAAACCCCUACUAAAAGCCUGUGUUUAUUCUGUAGGUAAAUUCAUUUUCCAAGUCACCAUUUCUCAGAUUGCUCUCUGACACCUACUUCUUGUUCCCCAUGGAGAGCUUCUGAUACUAAAUUUCUUUCAGUCAAGUCAUAUAAUUUAGUAUAUUCUUUACACCAGCCCUGAGUUUAUUGCGUCUUCACUUUGUCUUGUUCUCAGCUUACUCACUUACAGAGAUAGUUCUUAUUUUCUAUCAGAAUUAUUUUUCAGGAACACAUAGUGUGACAGAUCUGAGGAUUAAAUUCCUUGGUAGUCUUCCAAGGUUUCCUGGUUUCCCAGUUCUCUAUUGUAGAUAAGGAUCAAGAUGCAAAUCAGAUUUUUUGUCAGGUCCAUGUUAAUCUCAGCUCUUGGGCUCUGAUUUCUUGCUUUGUUGGAAAGUGUGAGAUGGGUGAGUAUAUCCUCCUUUAUUCACCUAACUAUUUCUCUUAUCUGGUAUUUUUAGCAUCCAGACAGUAUAAUUUGAGUUUUUUCCCAUCCUCAUUUCUCUUUGUUGUGUUUUUGUUUUGUUUUGUGGUAUGGGUCCUUGUUUCUGUGUGUGACUUUUUUUUUCUUCCUUGUUUGUUUGUUUGUGGCUUUUUUACCAGCUUUCAGUGUAACUAUUUAUGCAACCUUUAUUCUUAACUUUGAUCUGAUGGUUAGGAAGUUUGCUCUAUUUUUGCAGGAUCCUAAAUACCAGAUUUUAGACUAUACUUACUCCUCUAGUACUGCUCUGUUACUCUCACAGUCCAUAGAAGAAUUGCUUUAAAUGUGCUACCCACUAAAGAUAAAUAUAGCUCUUAAUUCACCUUUUUCCCAAGAGAUAGCUUCAGGCUUUACAGAGAUAUAAAGUGAUAGGGAGUUUCUCAUAAAAGAGAGGCCAAAGGCUGCUUGAACUAAACCAAAGCGACAUGGCAUUUCAGUCCCAAAGAUUUUUGCCUCUCCUUGUUGUAAAGACCUCAAAUGAAGUCAAAGGACGAAACUGAAUCUUGAAUUUGUAGACACAUGGUUACACACAACUUGCGGACAGCACUACAGAAUAUGGCCUUGCUGAUGAAGUGUGAAGAUAGCCAAGAAGCAUCCCUCUGAUGUGAUGCCCCAGAGGGAUAGCUUUUAUGCUUCAGGAGUCUAUAAAAGAACUUUGGCGCUUCUGUCUUUUUCUGAAGGACAGACAGUUUCUUGUGCUCACCUAAAUUGUUUUUUAUAUCUUUUUAAAUUGAUAUGAAUCCAUAACCUUAAUCCUUGGGGUCUGUUGCUGAUUUGGAGUUGGUACCAGGGUCAGAGGUGGGAGGAUGGAGAAAUUUUAUCUGAGUGGAGUUCAUUUCACCACAAAGUGCUAUCAAAUUAUUUAUCAAGUGUCACAUAUAUGAAAGGAAGGGAAAAGAACUGUAGUGUUUCAGGGAUCUGGCAAUAUCUAAGAGGGUCACAGAAAAGUAAUAAAUUGGACAGAAGCUAAACUAUUACAGAAUACUGUCUACUGCCUCUGUAAAGAUCCAUUCUAAAGGUAUUACAUCAGCUUAAAUAGAGGGAGUACUUGCUCACAGCCCCUGGGUCUAGAAAGUUAAAUGGUCAGGAGGCAGGAGGCAGAUGAAAAAUUAUUUGCUUCUUUGAAUUCCACCAACCUUCAUCUCUGGAGUUAUCUUAACCCAUUGUAAAAACCUUAAAAAGUCAAUAUGUGACAGUGGUGUCUAGUAAUUUAAGUAAAAAAGAAGAAGAGGAUCUAUUUUCUGACAGGAAUAAAAUUCACAUACCAGGCAGUUUUUAUUCUUUGAUCCAUAAACGCCCGGUAUUCAAAGGACAGCUUCAGUGUCUGUCUCAUUAGCUAAAAUGGAGCCUAAAUUGAAAGGGAAACAAAGGGUUUGUGUGUUUUGGUACAUCUUUUAAUUGUUAUUAAUAUAGAUAAUCUAUUCAAGGGAAAUCAACCAAGCAGGCUGGCUCUUGGAGAGUGGAUGUCUGAAAAGAAUAGCAGUCACUUCCCAAGACUUCUGUUUUAUAAUCAUACCCCUCCGUGAAUACUAAAGAUGUAGCUAAUUGUGAUAGUAAAACAAAAUAAUUGUAUAAGAAUUUACAUUGUUAAAAUAUGAAUAAUAAGAUUAUGCCCUUAAAUUCAGUUGAGAUCCAGAUUUGUUAUGUAGAGUCUAUUUUUAAUAGUGUUUGUUAUGUCUUUUGAAUCCAGUUUUGUCCUCAUUAGGGAACCAGGGGUGCUGCCACAUAGGAUUUCUUGAGGAAGAGAUAUCCAAUGUCAGUUCCACAGCAAAUGAAAAUAGAAAAUGGGAACACAGGCAGGUCAAAGCAGUGACAUGCAGAGAUACCUGGGCUAGGUGGGGUGCUGAAGGAGCUGCAGAAGAUCAACACAGGAUAAUAUAUUUUGCUUCGCAGCAGAGUUGUGUAAACAGAAGCAGAAGCAGGUAAAGGUAGCUCUGAAUAGGCCUGCAGUGAGCCAUAAGGAUGUUUCUCAUUAUUGCAAUGUAAUAAGAACCCUCUUCUGAAAUUGUUUCCUCUGCUGUGUUGAUACAGGGUUCACUUAGUCUUGGCAGUCUGGAAGAUGUUGAAACAAGAAUAUUAUUUUAGCUAAAAUAAUAGUUUAAGAUUACAAAUUUUUGGAGACCAGUGGUGACAAAUUAUUAAUUUAGAACUUUAUUAAUUAUUAAUUUAUUAAUUUAGAACUAUGAAAGAAUAAAAGUCAUUUGUGUUCUUCUUCUGCUCCUCUACUGGCCUCACCUUCUAGAACUUUGCAAGUCAUUUUAAAACAAUUUCCAUUUUCUUUUCUUAUAUAGCUGGUCAGUCAUGCAGGAUUCAGUAUUCUGUGUGGAGCAGUUUUUAUUUGCACUUGAGUUUAUCUGACUUGUAUCUGACUUUUUAUACUUUCUUUUACUUUUUGAAUAGGAUAGCUUGUACAAUGACAAGAGUAAGGCAGUCCAGAUACUGAAAGGGGCCUGUGGGUACUACUCUCCUGUGAAAAGAAAUAAUUCUGGUUUGAACUGAGACUGCUUACUUAUUUGUCAAGCUUCCAGGAGGAAAGUGGCAGAAGCAAAUGCUCUGACUGCUAAACUUCAGCUGGGUGCUAUUCAUCAGGAUCAUGUCAUGCUAAGAACUGCCACAGAGCUCAUUCUUAAGGUGACUCCUAUACCUAUUUUUUCCAAAACUACCACUGUCAUCGUUUCUGUCUGGACCAUACAUAUGGCAAAGAAUAACUAAGGUGUGUGUCAGCUAUCAGAAGACUUUUAAAUAUAUCUCUAAAAUGUACUUAAAGAAGAAAACCUUCAGAUGUUUCAGACUUCCACUGGCUGUGUUUAUAUAUCUGCAUGCCAGAUUUUGCCCACACUAGACAGAGACUUAGAAACCAUCUAUUUUAAGGCUGUAAGGCAAAAGAGAAAUCUCCAGCAGAAGUGACUGAAGUCCCCACCAGACUUUAUUUCCAGGUGCCUGGGCUGAUGGAACGUGCUUUUCCUCGCAGGGAAUCUGAAAGGCAGUUACCUGUUUUAUAGACCAGUAUAAGAUAAGUCUGCAAUGUUCAGCAGAUAUGGUGUCUGGAAGUAAAGACUCCUUGCUGUGAUAUCUGGUUAGUCACUGUACAUUUAACCAGCAAUCUGUAGGGUGCUUGCAUAACUACUCAUGCUUAUCUUUAAUGGGAGGAAUAACAUCUCUAUUUCUUCUCACUCUUACCUGCUACCUCUGUGUAAACCUAGUAUGUAGAAAGAAGCUAAGUUAGGAAUGCAGGUGAAAAAGUACAUGAGUUCUUCCAAAAGGCUUUUUUUCCCCCUCUCAAUCUAUUUUUUUGAAAACUUUUUUUUCUGGAGAGGGGCUGAUGUGCAUUGUCAAUAAAAUUGCACCUCUCAGCACUGAACAGGAACAUGUAGAAGGCUCAUGUGUCAUGUCCCCCAAACAUCACAAUGAAAAGAUGAUGAACUUUUGCCUUCGCCACCAAAGGGAAGGGAUGUUUUCAUGCUGUGUAACCCAUGGGCAGCUAGCAAAGUUAAAAACAUGGUUUCAAAUCUGCCAAGUUAGAUUACAGAUUCAAUACUCACUUUUUAACUUUUAAUCCAGAGUUUUCAGGGAACUUUCUUAGUAACUUUGCUGUGAACAUCCUUCAGACUCUUUACACAGUCUGGCAGCUUGAGUGAGACACUGUCACUUGAGGUCAUAAGUACAUUAGACAGAGCAAUGAAGGACUAUAUAUAUAUUUUUUUUUUUUUUUGUCUGUGUUUACUCUGUUGGGAUGUUUGCUUUCUGUUCUAUAAGCAUUCUUUUGUUCAGUCUCAGCUACAUUUUCUUGUUAAAUAUAAAGAUCAGAAAGCUGACUCGUACUCAGAUUCUUUGCUGAAAUGAGAUUACACAGGUUGUUUCAGAAUUUCCAGAAAUUAGACAGAUUCCAUUUGUUUCUUCUCAGAACAGAUGGUAGAGUAGAAAUUGAAUCACUGAAGUGAUAGUGGGAGAGAAGUUGCAGUGGGGAAAAAAAGGAAAUUUAAGUGAAACUUUUCACACUUUCCUUUUUUUUUUUUUUUUUUUUUUUUGCUGAUUCCCAGCUUUUGUUUUUUAUGUGAAGAGUUUAAUAGAUCCAGCUUCAGAUUUGUCUCCAUUGUUCAGAGAACAAUAAAAUCAGAUGGAUAGAAUCUAGAGUAUUCUGUACUUUCACCAGAUACUAAAUGGAUACUCGUAAAGAAUUAGACUUUCACCUCAUGAGUUAAGUUCAGGUCUAUUUUAGUGGGCUGUUUCCUUCUUCAUUCCUUGAAGUGACAGAGCUAAAAUCAGGAUUAAUUCUCCCACUCUUUAAAAUGAGAUGGAUGUAUGAAUUUAGCAUGGAGUCUGAAGAAGGCACAUCAAAGCCACCAUCACUAUCAAAACUGAAGCCCUGGAUGAGAACUCAGUCUAUUUCUAGAUCAUCCCUUUAAAUUAUUUCUGUGGAGAUAUUUUUUAUUUAUGCUUCUGUAUUGUCUUUGUUGUGACAGUUGUGGGAUCACAGGCCAGUGAUCCCACCACUCAAAGAAAUAGCUGGCAUAGUGCAGUCACAGAGAUGCAGGACUGUACUCUGGAUACCAGCAGAAGAGGCAAAACUGAACCCUAAGCUGGUCUCUGUUGGGUUUGAUUUCUUUUUAUCAGUGGCUCUUGCACAUGGCACAGAUGAUCCUGAGAGAACGCUUGAAUCAGUGUGCCUUGAGUCUCUGUACCUGCAGCUCUUUUACUGACACCAACAAAAUCCCAGAAAUGCCUUGCUGCAGAUGAGAUGAAUGAGAGAUUUCCCCACUCCCCACUCCAUAAGCCAGUAAAUGCAGCAAGGGUUUUAUUAUUGGUUUUAUUGAAUGGCUCCUCUUAACAUUCCAUGCACAGAGCUGCAAAAGGCUGGAAGCUUAUGUGCUCUGUGCAGGUGGCCACAAGCUCCUGCCUUCCACAGGCUUCCCUCAAACACAUUGUGGGUGGGCUUUCCAGGCUGACCAGACAUUCACUUCAUGUUUAAUGUUUUCUCCUUUUUUUGUUCAUAUCUCAGUCUGUGCUCUCUGCUAUUAUGUGCCCAACCUCAGCACGUUAGGCUCCUGAUAAAUGUCACCUCAAUCCUGCAAGGGUCUCUAAGAAGCUGGGUGGGAUACAUGUGGCAUAGGCACUUGGAUACAAGGUUAGAGUUUUACUCUUGGAGUUUUUAUCUUUCUUCACUUGAUCUGUCUUGGCUUCCAUCUGUGCUUUAAACUGUGCUUCUGGGUCACUUAAGUGGCACUUGGGUUGUUAAUUAAACUUGUCCAACUGUUGUGUGGGGUAAGAGGUCUACAUAUGGUUAAAAAAAAAAUCUAUAAACUUCCAGGGACAGAUUCAGCAAAGUACCUACAGAAAGUGCCUAAUUGGAGAGAUGUGAAUAGCCCGACAGACUUCAGUGGGAUUAUGGAUGCAAUUAAAAUUAUACCUGCAAUAAAAUACCUGGCUGCACUGAAGUCUAGGAAGGGAUUUCUCAGAGCUUCACCUGUCUUUCUGCAGCCCAAAGCCCUGGGUGGUUUCCAGGGCCUCAUCUGCAGCCCCAUGGGGUUGCAAAUGCUAACGGCCAUGCUGUGCUGUGCUGUUCCAUUGGCCUCCCCAACAGCCAAAUUUCAUUUCAGAAACCACAGAUCUAGGCUGGGAAGCAGACAGAGGUGAGAGCAUGCUUUUACACGUGUCUCUUCUCUUUUCUGGUGAAUGAACAGCACUGCCAGUAUCGCUGGCUCUGUGACCUGCGAUGCACCAGCAGAUGCAGCCUCAGGGCUUCAGAUUUGAGCUAGCCAUGCUCAUUCCUUGCUGCUUUUUCCAGUGAUUUUCUGGCAGGGAAGAAAAGCAUAUUAGAUUGAUAAACUUUUAGGCAGCAUUCACUGUACUUUCAGGAAACAUGGUUGUGGUCAGUUUUAUCUCAGUGCCAUCCAGUACAUGAAAUAGCAUAAAAAAAGAAGGACAAAAAUGCAGAAUCAUAAGAGGAAAAGAAGGGCAGAAUUCAGAGAAGGACUAUAAUAGUAGUAUUGGAAAAUAAAAAUAAAGGUGUCACAGUUCGUCACUGUGAGGAUAAAAGGUGAAAUUAUUCAGUUUAACCCAUUGCAUACUGCUCACAUGAUUUUCCACCUCUCAGAUGCUUCAAAUUGCAUUUAAACCUCUUUUCAAGCACUUUUAAUGAUAAAAUAUUAAUUAUAAGGCUGUUGUCACAUUGCCUUUAUGGUUAAACUUUCUGACUGCAUUAUUGAAAUGUUUCAGCAUGCCAUUGUCACCUAAGAUACCCAUGAUGCAUUAAACUGUAGGUGUUUGUGGGUUAGUGUAAAUGUCUCUGCACAUAUAGGCAUAAUCAACUCUCUGUUGAUUCCUUAAUGUAGUUAUCAGAAACCACUGCCUCCUCCUGUCUCUGAUCUCUCUGUUCCACACAGCUUCAUUAGUUACUAACGUUUAAAUGCUCCCCCCCCCUCCCCCCUCCAGGUCCUGGCUGCUCUCCACUGAAAGAGACAGAACAUACAAUUUGAAGCUUUUUGCAAGACUUGAAAUUAUACCCUCAACUCCUCUUGGUUUCAUUUCCACUUAAGAAAAAUAGCAGCCUGAAGACACUGGUGUCACCAGGGAUCUUGCUGUGAGCAGUGGUGGCAUCUUAGGUGCCUGUGGUUGGACUGCCAAUGGCAAUCCCAGAUGAUUAUUUAGGAGACCCAGGGCUUAGCUUUUCCACUGAACAACUCAGUCCUUCUGAGUCUCCUGUCUGGUCCUCUGUUCAGAGCUGUGAAUUAUCUCUGAGGAGACUGAUCUGAGACUCCCAUUUCACAGGCAUUUCCUCAACAUCUAAGGCAAGGACUUAGUCCUACUUGAUAUUUUUUAAAUCAAUAUUUCAUUAAGCAAUGCUUUUAUGGCAUUUCAGUAUCAUCUAUAGUAAUUAAUAUAAGCCUUUUAUCUGUGUAAAUCAAAACAGUUCAGGAAAGCUGAAGUGCAUGAAAACUCUGUAUUAAGGAUGAAGAAAUAUAAAUCAUGCAGAGGGAUUAUGUACUUUGCCCAAUUGCCCAGCCAAUUAACAGAUUAAUUCUUAAUCCAGUUCCAUAUCCACGGGGCCAUGCAGCCAGAUUUUAUCUCCUAAAUGUAAAAUAUUCUGAAAAAAACCAAAUCAAGUUAAUGUCACAGUCACUUUGCAAUUCAGGUAAUACUCUAUUUUUAAUGAACUUAAUGAAAAAAAGUGUUUGAUUAGGGUGUUCUUCUGAAUUUUCUGCAUUUCAACUCAGUGUAAGAUUUUCAGUUAAUGAUGUGUUUAACACUCAACUGUUUGGCAACAUGUUUAAUUUUCCUUAUUUUAAUGUUUCACUCUGGUUGCCUGUACAUGCAACUGGGAGAGAAGUCUGUGUCAGAGAGAAAUCUUAUUUCUAAGGUGUUUCAUCACCAAGACUUAGUUGAAGAGUACAAGUGGAAAGAAGUGUUUACACAAACUUGAUGUUCUCUGGUUUCCCUGUGCUUUUUUUUUUCCAAGGGGCUAGCAGCUUUCCAUUUCAUAGCAGGAAAAUAACUAAACCAGAGGGAUUUCACCUACACAAAUGCAUUUUGUGAGAUAAUUAUUUGACUGACUUUACAGAGCUUAAAAUCUCUCAGACUUCAUGGUGUCUGAAGACUGAAUUCACUAUAUCUUAAACAGGACAAGAUUCUCCUUUGGAAAUUGUCUGCUUUUCUUAUAUAUAUAGUUCAUCUGCUUAGGAAUGAGGCAAGGAGAAUAGAUCAGCUCAAAUUCAUUGAUACUAUUCACUUUUUUUUUUCCUAAAAAGAAGAAAAAGAAAAAAGUUGCGUGUUAUUAGAAACAUAAACUACUUCUCCUUAUGUAGGCAGGCACAUGCUGCUCUCCUCAGCUGAGACACAAGGCUCUAUUCUUAGCUCUACUUUCAUUUACAUUGUGCCUUGAGGCAAGAUGCACAGGAUAUUACAGCUCUGCUGUUAGGACUGGUUUAAACGAUGCAAAAUUAGAGCCCUCUGUAACAUUACAAGCAAUUUUAAUGGUAUGUAAAAGGAUGCUAAAAACAUGUUAUAGAAAUCCUAUCCAAGGAUAUGUAACCCUGACAAGCAAGAAGGGAACAUUAAAGGUAUUUGGAAAUAUUUGAAUGCAAUCACUCAGAUGGGUAUAGAACCAGCCUGCGGUUUCGUCCCCAUGGCAGCUGAGAACCAGGAAAUGUCUGCAGUAACGGGUCAGCUCCUCAGUGGAUGAAGCUUACUCGGCUUCACUGAUGUUGAUUUGCACAAAUUGACAAACUAGACAGAUGUGACAAAUUGACAGACUCAGAGUAUUCACUUGUGGUGGAUGCACUCAACCUCCCCAACCAAACUAGCAGUAGUCUGGUAAAAACUCCAAAGAAGGUAAAGACCUGGGCCAUGUGCAAGGCAGAAUCUCCCCAGGGAAACCACAAAGGGGCAGAUGACCCAGGGAGCAUCGACGCAUGUGGACUUGGAACACCAAGCAUGCUGUUAAUGCAAGGAGAGCUAGUGGUUUUGCCAAGACACGUAUGUGUGGGUACAAAGAGUCUCAUGCUUACCUUUCUCACUGUAUGCACUUGAACUGUGGGCUAACUGCUUUAUCCCAUAAAUAUGACACCCUAAUUGAGCUCUUCCUGCUAGGCAGUGUGGCUGCAGAAGUGUGAUCUCCACUGGAGUUGGGAUGCCUCUCGAAGUUUGAGAUUCUUUACCUGAGAUCAAGACAUCCUUCCUUACCCAAGGCAGAGAGAUACCUUCUUUGCAACAAAUCCUCUGUAAAUAGCUGACAGCAUGCUAAAUUAAUACUAAUGCAAUAAUGUAAUUGAUUCCUUUACAAACAAAUUGAUUUCUUUGUUACAAACAAUUGUACAAGUCUGAGACUAAGAUUGGCCCUAGGUGCAGCUAGGCUUCAUCAUGAGUUUAGAAAGCAAGGGGGCUCUGAGCCUCACAACUCAAGGGGAGGAGCUCCCAUACUCUGUUGGAUCUUUGGUCUCUGUCAUUCUAAAUAGAUUCUAACUUAAUUUGCCUUUGUAUGUUUUGUCCAUGUAGUAGGUAAUAGAGUGAACCUCACCACUGAAUCUGUUAAUGCACAUUUUUAUAAAGACGUAUUAAAUCUAUAUUUGCCAAUAUCUUUGAUGGUGAUUCCUUGAGUAACUCUAAACUAUUAAUUUGUGACAUCAUUACUUGUAAUUUCUCCACUGUUGCUUCAGCACUACCUAUUACCCCUUUCUUUAAGAUCUGCACCUUACCUAUCCCUCCUGUCUCUGCACCUGGAUGAAACGAAAAUGAACUAAAAACUGUCCUUGGAAUAUGGCCUUCAUUUUCCCAAAUUAGUUCACAAACAUCAUAGAGUAUUUGGUAAAAGACUCAAUCUACCCAAUAAAAAUUCAAGCCACAAAGUGUUGAGCAGAAGAAACAGUAUGGAGACAGUUCUUAUUCAAAUCCUGAAAAGUAGGUGCCAGCUUUGCUGGUCAUGGCUUUGCAGUCCAUCCCACAAUAUCCAAACCAGGAGUUUGCUUCCACAGAAACUUUGCUAGUUACUGGUUGUGUUUGGGAAGUGCUCUUGGGAGGUAAUGUCCAGGGUGCUUCGACCUGGGAUAUGUGCAGGAGAUACAUUGCCCUGCUGGUGGCAAGGCCAGGCUGCACUGUGGAGCUGCCAUCUGUUCCACCUAACACCACAGUGGACAGCCAUUGGCUUUGGAAGCUUGUAUAUCUUCCUAUCCCAAAAUGUGUAGCAAGAUCCCUCUCCCUGGUCAUGAAGUUUUUGAAGCUUCCCUAGAAGCUCCUGAGCAGAGGAGUAGCUUGUCCAGGUGCCUUGAGGAGGCCUCACCCCAUUGUGAAGGAAAGACAAGAAGUGAGAGGAAAGUAUUUAUUUCUCUUUCUCCCUCACUACCUCUCCGAGUAUGCUGGGGAGGGCAUGGAUGGACUGGCAUCACUUCCCUCAGACACAGCUGCUGCAGAGUUUGGCACAAGGCUGAGAGCAGUGGCCAUGGCUUGAAAUACUGACUUGUAUUAUACUGACACUGGUGCCAACAACAGCUGUUCUGGCUCCUAGCUUAGGGACUUGGAAAUAAUUUGCCCCAGGUGACGAAUCUGGCAAAAAUGUUUUUAAGCUUUCAAAUGAUGGGCAUCUGUAUUUUGAGUAUUGGGUGUGUAAAGAGUUAGAAAGGACUUGAUCCAUGACCACAUAUAUCAGAGUCCUGAUUAAGCCAGUUACUGCAGGACCAUGUGUCUCCAUGAGGAAAGACACUGGCUUUAAAUCAGUAUUCUGGCUGUUACUGAGAGUGAAGAUAAAGCAUUGACUUCAUCACCACAACAAGGUUUUCAGCAAUUAGAGGCAUUGGCAUGUCUUGUAGCUGGUGCUGCAGCAAAACUGCCAGAGAUCUGGACGUUUCCCUCCUCUGGGUAACAAUGAUAGAUAAAGGUGUUAACUUCAUAAUUGACCAGGUGGAGAUUUAUAUGCUCACUGGUCUUUGUUCACCAUAUUUCCUUGCACAGCACAAAAUCAUCAUCUGUUCUCUGCUUGCUCAUUGCCUUGUUAUACCUGAAGAUCUGUCAAUGCAUACAAAUAACCCUGCACUAAAAAGAAGCAAACAGAACCAGUCCCAUUUCUGCUGCCAGGGCAUAUACACAGAGCCUGGAGCUCUACUUGGGCCAAGUUGGUGACAUGACAUGGCUGUGUGAUGACAAAGACAUUGUCAGACCUUCCUUCCCCCAGACUUCAUUCCUUCAUCUCUUACUGAAAGCCUGUCUGCUGAGAUGUUUUGUAUUCAUCAAGUAGUUCUUCUAUGGUAGCUCUGUGCCAAGGCUGCUGAAUGGUGUUGGAGGAACCAUUCCACUAGAAAUUAAUUGUUUGGGAUUUUCUCUGAGAGAUCAGAUAGACUAAAAGACCCUUUGGUAGCACAGCUACAGAGUCAAAGUUGAGGAUGUCAGAUAAGCUGGUAUUGAUGUACUUCACAGCUCUUUCUGUAGGUUGGUGGUUCCAACCUACAAAAAAAAGGUUGUCUGGUUGCUAAAAAUAGCUGUGCUGCUGCAGAAAUGCAGUCUUCAGGAAGUAGUUUUAUAAAGCAGUAGAGUGGCUCUGCUCUGAAAAAUAACCCAGGAGAAAGUGUGGUAUAGGGGUCUGUGUUUAUUGUUUUUCAUAACUGAUUGGGAUCCAUACAUGAAGCCAUGUCUUCUGCAUCAUUCUGCACUGUCCCUGGUAAAGGAAAUGUGACAGCUGAUGAAAUACAGAAAACGUUAUUCUCUUUCUCUUGCUCUCAAUGAUGUCAGUUUUAUGCAACUAGAAAGUAGAAGGUAGUAAAAAUCUAUUUCAGUCACCUGAAAUCAGCAAAAGUGACAAUUCACAGACUAAGCAGGUUAUGUGCAAAGGUGCUGCAUUUGCAGUCAGUUUUCAAUGUGGAACUUCAUCAUAAUUUCUCACUCAUGGAACACAUGAUGAUUUGGAAGAAAGACAUGCAUUUUCUCCCUCAGGAAUAACAGCUGCCCAGACACAGGGAGGUAACUGCCAAAGACCUGACUGCUGGUCUCUGGUGUUUUUUAGGUAAGGACCAUUAGUGCUUGCUAAUCCUCUCAAACUGGAACUCAGUUCCCAGACUUGGCUGGCCGGACAUUGUCGCUGGUAUGAGCAUUCCCUGAAAGCUGUAAGUGAGAUGCCAGCAGAACAGUGUGACAUCUUUCCCAUCGUGACCCAUUCCUGCAUGUCCCUGAUCAUGGUCACUCUGCCUCCAAAACACAUGUGAUCUACAAGCAGAAGUGGAUAUUUGACCUGUGCUGGGUUCAUGCUCUGUCCUCUGACCCACCAACACCCUGUUCAGUCCUUAGGGACCAGACUCCAGCCUGGACUUCAGCAAUGUGGGCUCCCUCCUCUCUCCUACGCUCAACUGAAGUGUCAUUCCCCUGCUCACAUCCAUUCUGCAACAGUGGUGAUCACUGGGGAGCACAAAUGUAUCAUUGUUUCCAUAGAGCUAUGGGGCCAUGGGAUGCUCCAGAAAAAAGGAAACCACAGGCUGGUACCCUGGGAAAAAUUUCCAAAUUAGACUUCAAAACUGGAUUGGGUAGGGCUGCUGGCAAUGACAACUGGAAAAAAAGUGCUCUUUUUCCCUGUAUGUGUAGCUCAAAGUGCUGCCUCUUGCAUAGUAAUUAUAUUAAUCCAAGUUAUUUUACUAUUCCUCAGGAAAAAAAAAAUUAAAAUACCUUAAAAAUAUGUUUUGUGUGCUAAUCUGGCACUGUGGCUUUCCUGAAAAGAAGCAGUUAGCUCCAAUUUAUUUUCAGCAAUGGACUGUAAAACAGUUGUAGGGUUUUUUCCCCCUGACAAUCAAGCAAAGUGGUCAAAAAAUAAGUUAGUCCUUGGAAUUAGUUUUUGGAAUUAGUCUUGACUUUACAUUUUAUUAAGCCUAAUAAAAUAUUCAUAUUAGGUCAUUCUUAAUUGUCAUUUUGUCAUCAUUUAAAAAGCUAAGGUUUAGUAAGUGAUUUUUUUAUUUACUAUUCUAUGCAAAUGCUUCUGUCAAAACUUAAUUGUAAUUUUGCUGGUAGUUUAUUUAAGCCAUAAAUAUAGUGCUGAGUAUUACAUCUGAAUUGAGCAGUCUUUAUAUUUGUUCUUAUCAUUCGUCAUAGAAUCAUGGGAUGGUUGGGAGGGACCUUAAAGAUCACUAUGUUCCAAUACCUCUGCCAAUGACAGGAAGACCUCACAAUAGACACGGUUGUUCACAGCUCCAUCCAGCCUGGCCUUGAACACUGCCAGAGGUGUCCACAGCUUCUCUGGGUGACCUGUACCAGUGUCCUACCCCCUCACAGUAAAGAAAUUGCUUCUUAAUAUCUAACCUAAACUUCCCCUCUUUCAGUUUGUACCCAUUAUUCCUUGUCAAGUCACUGCAGUUCCUGAUGAAGAGUCCCUCUCCAGCUUCCCUGCAGGCCCCUUCAGAUCCUGCAAGGUCCAUGAGGUCUCCACACACUCUUCCCUUCCCCAGGCUGGACAGCCCCAACUGUCUCAGCCUGGCUUUGUAGGGGCCGUGCUCCUGUCCCUUUAUUGACUUCAUGACCUUCCUCUGGACUUGCUCCUACAGUUCCACGUCCUCCUUAUGUUUGGGACACCAGAACUGAACACAGCACUGCAGUGGGGUCUCACCAGAGCAGAGCAGAGCAGAGCAGAGCAGAGCAGAGCAGAGCAGAGCAGAGCAGAGCAGAGCAGAGGGGCAGAAUCUCCUCCAUAGCCUUGCUGGCCAUACUGCUUUGGAUGCAGCCCAGUACACGUUUGGUUUUCCAGGCUCUCUGGGCUGCCCCUCAGGCCCUCAUCCACUAGCAACCCCAAGUCCUUGUUUGCAGGGCUGUUCUUAAUUACUUCUCCACCCAACCUGUAGGUGGGCCUGGGACUGCCAGAUGCUAUUAUACCUUGGUAAUGAGCCUGGUGAUAAAGCCUGGCAAAUAUGGGAUAAACAGGUCAUGUACAUAUUGUCAAGACUGAAGCUGAGAAAUAGCUAAUUAGACUUCUCCUUUGCUAAAAAUUGCUGUAAAUUUGUUGCUUUGUUCUGGACAACAGUUGGUACUCUUCUUAAAAACAGUGCUAGAUGAACUCUGUAUAGGAUCACUUUGUGAAGAAACAGAAUAUAGGGUGUUUUGAGAGGAAAACUUACAAAACUUGAAGCAUUCUUCAGCUUGAUAGGAAAGUGAAAGGCUGUGUUGCAGUGCGCCGUGCGGGGCAGCUGUGGCAGGGGCACGACCCUGCGAGCUCUGCAAUUCCUGGUAACUGCGGGUCUGGCGCAAGGACAGAUAACAAUGACACAGAACAAGGGCCUUCCAGAGCAGGUUUAUUAGGUGGAGCCCAAGAGCAGCUUGAGAGGGCAAACAAAGGUUUUAUACAGGAACUCAGGAGGAGGGGAGUAGGAACAAUAACCAAUAAGGGUAGACCUGGGGAGGGGUCUAAGGCAGGACUAACAGAUCAUAAACCUGUCAGGGGAAAUAGGGGAGUGGUAUAACACAAAGUAACCAUUAGGGUGUUGAGUGUAGCUAAAUGGACAGGGACCACUCUGGAAGAAGGGGAGGGGACUAGAAGGAGUGACAGGGAAUGUUCUAGGGAAGGGGCAGGGAAAGGGAGGAUUGACAACUUGGAGGGGAGGAGGUUAGGGAAGAGCUCGGGAAGAUUGACAACUGGGGAGAGGAGGAGAUUAGGGAGGAGAAUAGGGGGCGAACCUGAACUCUAAAAGCACACCACAACAAGGCUGCAUAAUUUAUAGUACUAAAUUGACCAUGCUCCACUGCUGCUUCAUUCAUAAGUACCUAUAUUCAGUGUGGUUUUCAAGCAGAAACAAACCUUUGCAUGAGUGAGAUCUCACUGGAUGAGCAACCAAAUUAAUUUUAGAGUUCUCAGACCAAAACCAAUUAUUUUUUGAAGGAAGCUGAGGAAAAUGUGCUACUUAUUGCCAUUGAACCUCUUGACACCAGUUCCGAUUUCAAGCCGACUAUACACUCAGCAUGAGAUAUAUUUGUUUAAAAUUAAACAUGCCAAUAAUCAAACUUGAAGGGGAAACAAGGUGAGUUUGUUGUUUCCACACUGGAAAUCUCUAUGUCUGCAUCAGUGAAUUUUGGCUCCCUAUUUUUCCUACUUAAAUUAAUUGCUAACCAUGCUAAAAUAGAGCAGAUAGGGCCUGAAAGGUCUGUUACAGUGGUUCUUGGUGAGGGAACUGGGGAGUGGAACAGGGGAGGGAAGGGUAACUAGUGGCAAACCAGCUUUCUUCAGGGGUAGAAAAAUAACAGGAAUGCAAGACAGCUUGGGAAAAUGAGGUCUAGUCUUUUAGUGAACAGACUGUUGGGCUCGGAUACAAAAGUUUACUGUGUGAAAACCUGGGAUUAUGCUGUGGGAUGAGGGAGACGAGCCUUGCCCCAGGACGUCUCUUGCAGCUGCAAUAGACAUUGUAGCUUGAGAGGGAUCUGCUAGGAUGGUAUCUGUCAUGUCUGUGUUUACAACAGGAUUAGAAACACCCAUUUCAAGGGGUCUGCAAAUCAACUGGAAAAAUUGGCUCAGAUCAGGAGCCUGGCUGACAAAGCUAUGGUCUUAAAGCAAUUGUAAAAAAAACAGAUCAUCUGCUUUUCAAAUCACAGCAGGAAAGCAAACAAGUGGGCCUAUUUUAUUUCCCUGGUUGUGUUUGCAUAACACAGGAUAUCUUUUAUGUUUUAAAUUAAACUACUGGUUGUUGUUAACUAAAAUUUGAAAUGUGUGAGAAAGAAGUGUGAAUGUAUUUAGUAAAAAAUAAACUGAUUAAUACUACAGUGUAAGCUUUUAUAAAUGCGGAGCUAUAUUUUGAUGUUAUAGCCAGAUUGCAAUAUAGUAUCAAGGUCAUCAUAAUUUGAAAACAUCCAGAUAGAUUUGGAGUAGGAAUUGGUGGGUGAAGCAAUAUUUCCAGGGUGUUUGGAAGAUCACACUCUAUUUUAUUAUGGUCUCUCUGGCCUUUAAAUGCACAUUCUUUGAAGUUUGCCUUUCCCUGCAGUGAGCCUCAAAGGCCCAGCAUCUCUGCAUCACCAAAGGGGCUGGCUGUGCCCCUCAGGAGGUCCUUAUCACUGAUGUUAUCUUUUCCUGAGCAUGCACUGGGCUGGGCAGUGAGGUGGGAUCUGUACAAAGUGCUGCCCAGCUGGCAUUACAGCUCCUGCUGUACAUCACUGCAUUACUUCACCUGGAGCAAAUGCCCCUAUGAAUAUGCAUUUGUUUUUCCAGCACAAUAGAUAUCUGUAGCGGGGUUGUUUGUGGAUAAGUAACCUCUUUGUUCAUUUAAAUUCUGUGUGUGAGACUUCAGGUGGGCUCUGGUGGGAUGCCUGAAUUCAGAGUCCCAUGACUCAAGUGGCUGAGUGCCUGCAGAUGGAUUUGCUUGCAGGCGAGGUCUCCUAGCAGUCUAGCAGGUCACUCAGCUCUUUAGUUUGGUUUGUUUGGUUUGGUUGCCUUUGGCAAAGUGGAACUGCCUUUGGCAGGAGGCUGCAGCUUGUGCUAUAGCAAUAGUAAGAAAGUUUCAGAGGGCCACUCAUCUGUGAGCUCAGCAUAACUUGUGCCAUUACCAACAGCAGUAAAAUCUGGGACCUUGAAACAAGCCAGCUGUUUCUCCCCAUUGUUGGCUGACGCCUGCUCGUAUAGGGAGAAGAACGGCAGCAUCAAAUGAGCAGAAUUAUUGAGGAAAAAAACAUAGCAACAGCACAGCCUUGUCACUUAGUAACAGUAGAAUUACGAUGAAGAAGGAGGGAACAUAUAUAAAUAAAAUAUUCAGGAAUAUACAUAUUCAUUAAAAUGAUACCCAGAAAACAGAAAGAAGAAGGGAAAUAGCCAAGCAUCUAAAAAUAUUCUUUAAUGAAAAAGAAUUUUAAAUAUCUGUCUCCGCUGCUCAGAGCUCUGUGAUGAUAUUACCUUCCCACAUGACACUAUGCUAUUUCAGGUUCCCCUGGUUUCCUUCCCCCUUCUCCUCACUUCAAGUACAUGAGAAGUCUGACAGAUAAGCUUGAAAGUGUUGCUUUUUUGUUAUCAGACGUGUGUUGCUGUUUUAUUAUCCUUAUUGUGUCUAUGUGAGUAAUGCUCUUUAUGUGUCACCAUGCUCAGUGCUGAUGAAUACACAGUGAUAUAUUUCAGCUCUGAAUAGCAUCCCAAUUAAUUUGCCUGCUACAAGAGGCCAAUUUGCUGUGGGACCAAGAGCAUAUUCCUCAUUGUUUUGAUUGCUUUCCUUACCUCCUGGAUCAGGUGAAGAGCAGAAGAACAAAAAGCAAUGCUAGUAACCAAAUAAAGCUCUUUCUGUUCUUUCCACACCUCUACACUUAAAUGUAUUUAUGUCAUCUUUAAUUCAGGAAAAAUAAAAAAGCCAAAAAAGAAAAACCAAACCCAAAAUGAAAGCCCCAAUAAUAUAAAAUCAAACCAUUUUCAUAGAAGGAACAGUGAGAGCUUGGAAGCUGUUGCAAAACAAGGUUUUGUGGUUUUAGAUGUUGUUCUUCUACCUUGAAUAUUUAAUCAAAUGCCCACUAAAGUGAAAGAUUAAUAAUUUCCCUUAAAAAUCAUUCUCCUCGUCUCACUUUCACUUGCACUGAAGGUGCUCUCUUGUCUUUCAUUCAGUGCUGUAGAAGCUGCUACCCCUUAUCGCCAGCUUCACUUUUUCUAAGGGCUUCAGCUGGGAUUGUUAAAUAAAUGUUAAACCUUUAUUACUCAUUUUAUGUAUAGUAAACUGAUUGCAAGGCUUUUGUCUUCAAUCCACUACUUUUAAUAAAUAUUUUAUCUUCCACUGCUGAAACACUAGUUAUGAAUUUUCAUGAGCAACUUCACAUAAAUCUUCUUAACAACUCUCCACAUGAAGAGGGACUUCAAAAGCACUGUGCUGGCCAGGCAAGGGUCAUCUUGUAUUUGGUUUCUGUCUCUCCAGUAGAGUACUUUCAGGUAUUCAGUGGAACAUUUAACACAAAGACAGGUGUUGUUCCAGGCCUCAUUCAUCUCUGGUGAUAAAAAAUGUUUGACAUGACUGGAGGCUACACAGUGUGCUUGUGUAGCAGUUAGUUUUGGAAGAUCCCUAAGAUAAAAAUUGCUUCUGUUUGGGAAAUACUCAAACGAAUUCACAUUUAUAUUUGGAUGUGUACCAAGAUCACAUUUGGUGUUUUCCGUCUGAAUUUUUUCAUAGUAAACUUAGCAGCAUGUAUUUGAAGUGCAGAUGCAUUUAAAGUUUAUCUGAUGUAUAAAUAUUAAUAUGAACAGUUUGUCUGUGCAGCACCUGUCCAUGGUUCAUAGAGAUGAUGAGGAGCUACUGGGGCCAAUAAAUGACCCCUGUGUAAAAAGAUCCACUGGCAGACAGCAGUGGCAUUGUCAAAAAUCUGAACAAAUUUUUUGCAUGCAUUGGCAUUCACUGUGAUAGUGACACCAUAAAUGGGGAGGGAGUCAGAGGAACCACCUCAAAUGGAGGUGGUGGGAAAAAGCAUGUUAGGACAAAUUGAUAAACUAAACAUUAACAAAUUCUCAGCACCAGAUGGUGUUUACACAGGAGUCCUGGAAAAACACACACCACAAAUAAGAAUUUUCUGAAUUGCUAACUAUGUGUGAUCUGGCACUACUAUCAGCUCUGGGUUUAGAGGGAUUCAAGUGGGAACAUGAUGCCAAGUUUUGAACAGCACUUCAGGAGUGGUCCUGAAAAGUAAUGGUCAGUCAAAGAUUUCAUUUGCAGUGGUCAGAUUUGGUUAGAGGUUUGAGAAGAAACAUGGGUUUGGAGAGGAAGGUCAGGCUUGAAAGCCAUAAGAACUCUUGGAAGGACACCAUGAGCAGACAUAUUGUGCUUGUUCAGGCUAUGUAGCUUUCAACAGAAGCUUAGGGAAGCCAUGGCUCAUAACAAGUGACACUUACUAUCAGGAACAGAAAAAGUUACUUAUGGGUUAGCCCCCAGAAAAGGGAGGGUUGGAAGAAACAGGCACCUCAUACAUCAACAGGAGGUCCAAUAGACACAAGAUCUGGGUGUGGUGUUCAGCAUCCUCCUAAGAGGCCUGGAGAAGGUGGUGCAAGCAAAUAGUGACAAUGUUUACAACUGAUGAAAUAUAGGAUAACCAAAACUAGUCUUGACUCUGAAAAACUGCUGAAAUUGUUCACUGUGCUAUAACAAAAUUCUGUGUUAGGGGAAAAGUGACUACUUAUAUAAAAUCAUGAUCUCUUAGCUCAGGGAAAAGUGAACGACAGCCUGAAUCAUUGCAGAAUGUUUGCUAAAAGCAUCCAAGCACUACUCAGUGGGCAAGCUGGCUGUUGGAUUUGGAGUGGAGGCAGAGAAGUGCUUUUUCCUGUGGUGCAGAAUAGGAGUUUUGCUUCUGCAUACUGGGGAUGCCAGAGUACCAAUGGGGUAUCGGGGAGCAGGUAAUCUGAAGGAUGAAGACUGUGGGGAGCAAGUUAAACCAGGCAGCAUGGCUACACCUGCUGGCACAGCUGUGUCCCAGACUAGCAGCAGCAAAGGGGCGAGGGAAAGGCACUUGCCUUGUUUCACAUAGCCCCUCUGAAACCCACACUGCAAGUCUUGGAUGGCUCUGUUUUUUGGGCUAAAUGGAACUUUGGUAUGACAUUUCUCAAGUCAAUCCCACGUUACCAGGCUUGCAAGAGUUUGAGAUGAGUUAUUACACCCAGGAGAACAGAAGCAAAUUGGUGGUGGGUAGCAGGAUGUCUGUCACAGCUUACAUGUGUAGCUGGGCAGUUACGGUUGAGACACACCUACCCAGCUGCUAGUCAGAGGGUUUUUUGCCAGGACUUGUUUUAUGUGCUGGUAUUUGAACCUUGAUUAGGUAUACUUAAAGUUGUACUGUCUUAUCUUACUCCCUUCCCUGUCUGAAAAUAACACUUUUUUUUUUUUUUUCCCUGGAGAAGUAAGACUUGGCUCUCUGCUGUCCUAGAAUUGUCCACAACAA